CAAUCAGGCACACAGCUGUAGCGAACAGCACGGCUUCCGGGUUUGGCGGGGCCUUUGUGUCUCUCUGCAGCCUGAGCUCCAGGUCUCUUCUUCACUGCUCUGUGUCCUCUGCCCCUAGAGGCCCAGCCUCUGUGGCCCUGUGUCCUGUAGGUAUUAGGAGAUCCACAGCUAGGACGCCGGGAUCCCGGAAGCCCGGAAAUGGUAUUGUUGUCUCCAAGCCAGACCUGAUCAUCUGUCUGGAGCAAGGAAAAAUCCUUUGAGUAUGAGGAGACAUGAGAUGAUUGCCAAACACCCAGGUGGGUGCAAGUGAAAGUGAAUACAACAGACGACACAGGGAAUAACCUAUCUACUAAUGGUCAGCACCUGUGUCUUUGUGUCUGAGGCCAAGAAUAAAUUCAUCAACUUUUUAGCCACCGCUGCAACAGAAGCCAACCACAAUCAAUGUUGGCUAUACGUCGAGUUGCAGGAGGAUGCCAAAAAUGGCUACCUUGGAGAAUCAUCCCUGACAACAUUUCUGAAUGGCUAUAUUGUUACCAAUGGGCCACAACAACAACACUUGCAAUCCAACCUGGGCUUCCUUUGACCACACUAAGCGAUCUAUCUUUGCCAAGUCAGACAAAAGGCGAACUCCUCCCUCACCUUGCAUCAAAAGCCUUGGUAUUCUGCCCAAUAUUCCUGGAAUGGUAUAUACUACAAACCUGCUGUGCUGGUGGCUGGAUUCCAUACAACCUCUGCUUUGUCUGGAGGCCUUAAAUGGAUCCUCUAAUGUUACUCUGGGGUUUCUCCAGUCACGUGUCAACACAUACUCCAAAUCAACAACAUUAUGCCCAAUGAAACACAAUCUCUUUCCUAUGUUAAUAAGAGAUUAGUACACUAUGAUUACAGUAGCUCCAUUGCUGUCCCCUGGGGGGCCCUCUGGGUAUGCAGAUCCUAUGGGUGGCGAUACGUGCCCCUACUUUGGAUGGGGAGAUGCACUUGGGGGUGGACAUUAAUUCCAUUCACUAUCCGGGAAAAUACUCCCCUCUCCAGUAAUCUAGAUGCUUAGAAACAUUGCUAGUUACAAAUGUGCUGGACUCCCUGGUGGUGGUACCCUAUCACAGUAUUCUCCCCUGCCACUGGUACAAUCUUGCUUCACCAACAAAUUAUAAUACUUAGCUUACCUGUAGAAAAUGCUCUUAAUGCUAGUAGCACUCGACUUAUGUUGUUACCAGAUGAAUUUGCUCAGCUGCAUACUGUUGUGUUGCAAAAUCAAAUGGCAUUAGAUAUGCUUACCACAGCCCAAGGAGGGGUUUGCGCCUUACUGCAUACUGGAUGUUGUGUGUAUAUUCCUGGCAAGUCUCACAAUAUUACUCUGUUUGCAAUGCCAUGUUGGGUCUAAUUUUUAUUAAUUGUGCUUCUAAUUCUCCUGUGCUUACCCUGUAUCUGUAAUCUAUAUCAACUAUACCUUCCCGAUGUAUCUGUGAGGGUAUUUUAAUACAAUUGAGUAUCCAA
ensembl:lncRNA novel transcript